rnacentral:misc_RNA from 1 species
AUGAAGAACGCAGCGAAAUGCGAUAAGUAGUGUGAAUUGCAGAAUUCAGUGAAUCAUCGAAUCUUUGAACGCACAUUGCGCCCUUUGGUAUUCCUUAGGGCAUGCCUGUUCGAGCGUCAUUUAAACCUUCAAGCUAAGCUUGGUGUUGGGUGACUGUCCGCUUCACGGCGGACUCGCCUCAAAAUUAUUGGCGGCCGGUACAUUGGCUUCGAGCGCAGCAGAAACGCGAACUCGGGCCCGUCGUAUUGGCUCCCAGAAGCUAUCUUCACAAUUUUGACCUCGGAUCAGGUAGGGAUACCCGCUGAACUUAAGCAUAUCAAUAAGCGGAGGA